rnacentral:rRNA from 1 species
CAAUAGCGUAUAUUAAAGUUGUUGCAGUUAAAAAGCUCGUAGUUGGAUUUCUGGUGGGAGCGAUCGGUCUGGCGCUUAGCGCGAGUACUUGCAUCGUCUCCGGCCAUCCUUGGGGAGAGUCUGUCUGGCAUUAGGUUGUCGGGCAGAGGAUCCUCAUCGUUUACUGUGAAAAAUUAGAGUGUUCAAAGCAGGCUUAUGCCGUUGAAUAUAUUAGCAUGGAAUAAUAAGAUAGGACUUUGGUACUAUUUUGUUGGUUUGCGCACCAAAGUAAUGAUUAAUAGGGACAGUUGGGGGUAUUCGUAUUCCGUUGUCAGAGGUGAAAUUCUUGGAUUUACGGAAGACGAACUACUGCGAAAGCAUUUACCAAGGAUGUUUNCAUUAA